rnacentral:rRNA from 1 species
AAAAGGAGAAAUCCGGCAAGCGAUGGAUCCGCGUCCGAUUAGCCAGUUGGCGGGGUAAGGGCCCACCAAAGCGACGAUCGGUAGCCGGCCUGAGAGGGCGGACGGCCACAUUGGGACUGAGACACGGCCCAGACUCCUACGGGAGGCAGCAGUGGGGGAUAUUGCACAAUGGGGGAAACCCUGAUGCAGCGACGCCGCGUGGGUGAAGAAGUAUUUCGGUAUGUAAAGCCCUAUCAGCAGGGAAGAAAGAAGACGGUACCUGACUAAGAAGCCCCGGCUAACUACGUGCCAGCAGCCGCGGUAAUACGUAGGGGGCGAGCGUUAUCCGGAUUCACUGGGUGUAAAGGGAGCGUAGACGGCCGUGCAAGCCAGGAGUGAAAGCCCGGGGCCCAACCCCGGGACUGCUCUUGGAACUGUGCGGCUGGAGUGCGGGAGGGGCAGGCGGAAUUCCUGGUGUAGCGGUGAAAUGCGUAGAUAUCAGGAGGAACACCGGCGGCGAAGGCGGCCUGCUGGACCGCGACUGACGUUGAGGCUCGAAAGCGUGGGGAGCGAACAGGAUUAGAUACCCUGGUAGUCCACGCCGUAAACGAUGACUACUAGGCGUCGGGGCACGACAGUGCUUCG